CACGUAGAAGACUAGUGUUAUUCAUCUUUAUUAGGUUUAAAGGGAUACCUAGACGGAAAAUCAAGCCAUUAUAGGAACUAAUUUUCUAGAGUUUUAUAAGAGAAGGGCGAAUUUCUGGAGGAAAGUUGAUAUUUUGUGAUACUGGAAGGACGGGUAACGGCGAAGGCAACCUUUUAUGUAAAAACUGACGUUGAGGGACGAAGCCUUGGGUAACGAGAAGG
rnacentral:rRNA from 1 species